UUUUCUUUUGAAAACUGAUAUAAGGAAGAAAAAAUGAGAGUGAUAGGAUUUUUAGCUGUGGGGGGAAAUUUUGGAUUCAAGAUGGGAGUUUUUUAAAAGCAAGAUGGGAAAAGAGCGCAGCAGGAUUUUUAUGGUUUUCGUUGGAAGAAGAAGAAGGGAGAUUUUCACUGGUUUUUUGAAGGAUUUUGGAAAGGAAGAUAGCUGGAAGCCAAGCGAUUGCAGUCAAAAUUGUCCAGGUAUGCUUCUUGCUACUCUCUGGAUUCUCGCUUAUAUUCGAUUCCUCAUUUUGGUUGUUUCUGAAAAUUCAAUGUUUUGUUGAUUGGUGUGGAUGGUAAGGACCACAAGUUGUUCUGUUGAGAUUGGUGGUUUGCCUGUUUACUCAGUUUUGGUUUUUAUUCUUUUAAUGCCCUUGAUUUUCAUCUAAAAAUAAUUUGUGUAUGGACCCAUCUAUGAGUUUGUUGCCAAAAAUCAUGCCCUGUUUAUUUCCAAAUCUUAUUUUGAAUUGCUCCCUUGUUCUUAGCCCAUGGAUUAACACUUAAAAUGAGGCUAUUUAUAUUCAUUGAUUAGCAUCCUCUGCUUAUUCCUCCCCCGGUUUUUAUCUAUGUCCUCUGUUCCCCUAUUUGUACUAUCUUCCAGUACUUGUCUAUAUAUUUGGGUGUUAUUUGGGACUGACAGAAGUGCUUAUAUGAAAGAUAAGGUGUGCAGCAAAUGCAACGUGAUCAGUGUAUUUCUGGUGGUUCUAUGUCUCUAUAGAUUUCAUUGCAGCUUGCCUAGUUCUGUAAGGUUCUUUGUUAAUGGAUAAAAGCUCAGAUACUGGAUAGUUGAUUCUGAGGUAUUGCAGCGGGUUGAUGAAGAAGAUUUGAGUUUCUUGAAAUGCUUUUCACAUUGUAUCAAUCAGAGCUUUUUUUAUAGAGGCGCACAUCUUCAAAAGAGGAGCGGGGGAACUUUGGGGAAAUGAGGUUUUCUGAGUAAGAGGCUUGAGUCGCAGGAAAAGAGAUCGGCCGUAGGGGGAGAAAUUCUUGGGGAGAAAGUUCACUACUUCGGGAAGUUGAGAGGAGAGAGGAGAGAGGAGAAAAACAGAGUGGAGAAGCAAACUAGAGGAGAUUCAUUGGUGACUAACUUAAGAAAAGAAACAGAGCUGCUUGAAGUCCAGAUAUUCUUGCUUGAAGGGAGCACUUCCAGUAGAAGUUUGUUGAUGAUUUCAUUUCGAUAUUUGCCUUGAACUUUCCCGUUGUACCACCGGUUUUUGAACCCAUUGAAUCUAGCAUGAAAUGGGUUUUUAUUUAAUGGUUCACUUAUUUGUUUAUCCUUUUUUCAUCAUACUCUAUUUUGGUGGGGUUGUUUUUCUAUAGUUGUGCAUGCUUCAAAUUGCUCUGUUUUGCUUCCCGGGUGCGUCCUCCUAUAUUUAUGAAUAAAUAAGGUACAGAGCUGUGGGCUAGCUGCAAAGGUAAUUUCAGUGGGGGUUGAGAUUCUGGGCCCACAAGAAAAUAGAAUAGUAGAAGAGAAAAAUCCGUAAGAGAGUUGGGAUUGGUAGGAAGAGGCGGAUGGCUCUCUGGGAAGAGACAUCCACAAACCUCUUGGCUGAUGGAAUCAAUCGAAGUCCAGAGCAGUGCAAAUCCUCAUGGGCAUCUUUGGUUCAGAAAUAUCAGGAAAGCUAGAAUGAUGAGAAAAACAAGAAAGAUUGGUCGCCUUUGAACUUUUAAUUGCUUAAAGAUAUUUGACAAUGACCACUGCAAACAACCUGCUGCUGUAAAGGUUGUGAUACUUGAAUGUCAGUGUGACGAUGUGAUUGGGGUGAAAGUGCUGAAAUCAGAGCUCAGGAGAAGAUCAUUGACUGUUGAGUCUGAUAUGGAAUACAAUUGGAAUGCCAACAUUGAGAUCUACUAGAGAAGGAAGAGGAGAAAAAGCUUGGUCUCUCUUUGGAUGACUAUGUCGAGCUCUUGCUUGAUGUCUGUCCUGAAUAUUUUAAUUCCCAUGACAAGGGAUUCUGUGUGGCUUCCCAACUAGGUUGUGAUGACUUGGAUGCAAUGACAACUGAAGACAUGGCUAUCGAGGUUCUCAAAGGGAUACCAAGACUGAUUAGAUUAGAAAAAAGAUGAGGCUGCCGAUGAAUUUAAUGACAAGCUGGCAUCAUUUGGUCACUUACUGUUCUCUUCAUGUGGACUAGGAAUCAGAUAGUCGAGAUAUGAAUGACUUUGAAUGCUGUUGGCCAGAGAGCAGUUUUGAAGCCUGCUCACUAUGCUGGUGUUCAUGCAAUAGCUGAAAGGCACAUACCAGACUUUGAAGGAAAUUGAGAUCGCCGAGAGAAGGAAUGGGAAGCUGAGAACUAAUUGAGAAUAAUGAAGGGAUUUUGGAGGGUUAUGUCAAGUAAAGGGUUACUGAUGCUCUGGACGAAGCAGCAACUAGAGAAUAAUUAAGCCUUAUGAGAGAAGAAAGGCACAUACCAGACUUUGAAGGAAAUUGAGAUCGCUGAGAGAAGGAAUGGGAAGCUGAGAACUAAUUGAGAAUAAUGAAGGGAUUUUGGAGGGUUAUGUCAAGUAAAGGGUUACUGAUGCUCUGGAUGAAGCAGCAACUAGAGAAUAAUUAAGCCUUAUGAGAGAAAGGCUUCCCAUGAUGAGCCUUACUCUCUGAACACUGUCAUCGAUAAUUUUGGUGCACAAACUACUCAUGAAAAGGAAGCUUCCAAUCAAAAAAGCGAAUGAUCAACUUGUAGUAGAGUUUGAAUUAUCUGGUAAUGGUUGGGUUUCAGAAUUGAGAAGCUUUCCAGUUCUGAUCAAUUUCCCUUUGGUAGCCCUACCUGCUAGCAUUUUGAGGCACAGAGUUUCAUAGCUGAGAAGGAAUAGAAAGUUCUAGUCUCACAAGUUUCUAAAAUCAAGUCUGAAAAGGUGCCUGGAGUUGAGAAACUCUAGGGUGAAAUUAAAUUGACUUCCCAUGCUGAAAAAGAGUCCAGUGGAGCUGUUUUUGUACUUGAAAGCUCAGAAUCAGAAGCUUCAACAGCAAGUUCACAAUGCUUCAAGAAAUUAUAUCUAUCACUCAAAGAAGAACCUUCUGCUAUUAAUAUUUUGGGGAAUUCUUUGCUCAUUCUAAUUGUAACUGCAGCUAGCUCCAGCUUUCAUAUUUGUAAAGCAACAAAAAUCUCCCACCCCAAGACUCUCAUGAUAAUUCCUUACCUGUCAACCUUGGAGGAUACCUUUUCUGCCAUAACUGUCAUGACUGAAAUUAUUAAUAAAGGCCCUACUCGUCCUGUUGCUUUACAUGAACUGGGUCACCUUCAUGCCUUUUAUCUUCAGUAGUGGCUGGAAUACUUCCUUCUUCAAAGGCCCUUGCAUAUGUUCUUAAUGGUCUCAGUGCCGUUUGUCCCAAAGGCUUAAAGCAAGUGGAAAAUGCUUCAGCAUUGUGAUCCCUUGUGGACAACGAAUGAGAUUUUUGCUCCCUUGGCUAAUGUUGUAGAAAAGCUUUUGCGGUAUUUUCAUUAAGGAGUACUAGUGUCGACAUAACUAUUGAAAUUGUUGAUAGAACUGCUUUAACAUGGGAUGAUAACGUGGGGGUCAUCAGGAAGAUUUAAUGAGACUGCUACAAUGAAAAUGGCUUCUGAAGACAGAAAUGACGGCCAUCAAUAAAUUCAGUUGCCAUAGAUAUCAGUGAUGAAUGAUUCGUCCAAUUUUGCAUCUUUCAUGCGUCGGUUCUGGUUCACAGAAUAUUGAAAAUUCCUGAACUUGCUGAUUAUUUAUGGAGGAGUCAGGAACUGAAGCCUACUGAAGCUGCUGCCUUGGCCUAAUUUUGCCCAAAUUCUGGAAUAAUAAUGUCUAUUGCUCUACACGAUACCCUGGUCUACAAAAGGUUUUCCUCAGUAUCACCCAGCCCCACUGGCCAUUAGUACUUUGUAGAACUGGACAGACUCCACUUACAACCAAUUUGUGGCAGCAGCAGAGUCAGGGGAAGGGAGAUAUUGGCUAGUUUCCAGGACUGUUAGCUCGACAUACUUUGGUAAAUUUCAAAAUUCUUGAGUGGCUCAGAGCAUUUCAGAAUUUCUACAAAUAAAGGAAGCAAGCCAUAUUGCAGGCUGAAACUUCAGGACCGCAUGAUUAGAUUCUGGAGACAUUCGAAAGGCAAUAGAAUUUCGCUUCAGCAAUAUGACCGGAUUCUCAUUAUUUCAUUUUGGUGAAUUGGUCAUGCGAGUGUGAAUUUGUCCACUCAGUUUUGACUACAUUUGCAGCUGCCGGUAAACUGUUUUUGCAGCUACCAGUAAACUGCUUUUACAGUUAACAAGGCUUGUGCUUCACUUGUGGUGCCUGCGAAUACCAUAGAAAAUUGUCCAAUUGACAGACACGGUUUUCCAAAGCAUGCUUCUCGCUUCAAAAUGGCACCAUGUGCCACAACCUAGUAAUGAACAGUCUGUCGCGUCAUCAGUAAUGUUUGAAAAGCCUGCAUCAGAGUCAAGACAUCCACCGUACAGAUUACUAGACGACAAAUACAUAUUGAGGAACUAAAUGCAAACAGAAACAACCCAUCUUGAAGAAAUGGCUUCCUAGGAUGGAGAGCCUUUUGCAUAUGCACUCGAGUUCCCCAGCUGCUUCAAAUUACUUUCAGAUUUGACUUCAAAAUCUUCUAAAUUUCAAUUCUGCUGAUGAUCGCAUCGAGUUCAUAAAAAUGACAGUACACACCAAGUGAAAUUAGCACCAGACUGGUUUCCCAUCAUCCUUGAAGAGACUCUUAUGUUUCACCUAACUGAAGAGGAGUUCACUUACAACUACAUUAACAUUGUGACUAGGCCAAAGAUGCAGUCUGGAAAUGCAGUCUUUAGACACUGAAAAUGUUGACCUUGCUGUGAAGUUUCUGUAAAAAGACGUCAGACUUACUGGGCAGACUGUAUUUCUGGUGGAACCCUACAGGUGGUUAAUUUAUUUGAAACUGUGAAGGUUUUGAGAAUAUCUGAGGCAGUGAACAGAAAAUUAUCAGUAGAGCGGUUUCAGGAGCAUAUUACAAAGAACCAUAAUAGGGAUAUCAUGGAGGGCGCAAGGGUUGUACUUCUUGAUGCGAGCUUUAAAUAACCAGAGAAGUGGGAAUGCACGCAUUUUCGCAUUACGAUGGACUUAACAGCAGGCCAGUUGUUGAGUAUGACCAGAAACACUGUGAUUAUGUCUAAUAUGGGUGCCUCCCUCCAAAACGUCUCAUUUUCAGACCAGGCUUUAACGAAUAGCAUUGCUUGUCCAGAAGCUCAGUACAAAAGCAUGUCCUUAAGUGAAAGACUCCUGUUGGAAAUUCAGAACACUAGAAUCUCUCCAGAAUUGGUGCUUAACGAAGCAUAGAUGGAGGAUGAAGAAAUUGGUGAAGACAUUAUUGGAUUGAAAGAAAAGCAUUUCUGAUGGGCUUUCCGAGAAGAAACAGAUGGGCAGAAUACUGAAGAUAUUGGGCAGAAAUUUAAGGUCAUUCAGGUUUGAUGGUGAAAUAGAGUUGGACAGAACCACAAAGUUUAUGCUAAUUCAGUUACUCCUACUUCCAACAACUUCCUAGCUAAUACUGCAAAAUUCAUCCAGUUCUGCUUCAACUGAUCAGAUGAACUUUGCCUACACCGCAAGAUAAAACGAGUAGUUUCUUUUCUGCACUGUUAGUCAAACUCGACUAGCAGUGAAACAGAAACCAUUCAUUGCAGGUUCAGUCACAUUAUAGAUCAAAAGUAAAAAAUGUGAAAUCUGCUUAGUUCAUGGCAACAGCAAGGGUAUGUAUUCUAGUGGAGCUGCUGAAUCAAGUCUUGAUGGUGAGAAAAUAACACAGAAUGCAGGAAAUAUAACAAUGCAGAAAAGUAGGGAUUUUCAGCCUUAUGUUCAGUUUUUGACCAAGGUUGGGGAGAAUCCAUUUGAGCUUAUGGGUCAAGUUACCUUAUAAAUGGAAAUGCUUCUGACCGUUGAAUACUUCGGCAAUGAAUUGGGUUCUUCUAUCCAGAAUUCCCGGGCUCCACUCCAUCAUGGCCACCUUGCUGCACACCUCCUCCUCUGUUUGCUUCUUUGAUUGGGAAUUUACUGUUUUAAAUUGAAUUUUCAAAUCAUUUUUCAACUAAACAUUUCCAGCUUUGAAAAAUCCAUCUUUAGAUCCCUUCUAGACACUAAAAUCCAGAUUUUAAUAAAUUUGUUCUAUUUUUUCCCUUUUAUUCCUAGAAGCUCAAGGAGCAUACAUUUACUGUACCUAUUCUAUUGUUAAUUUGUGGUUCCAGUAGUGGGAUGGAUUUGAAUAAAUUCUUAUUUAUACACAUUAUUUCUCUUGUUUAAAUAUAGAUAUGGAAGAACUCCUCUUGAUGAAGGCCGAGCAUGUGGGAGCAAGCAUUUAAUCAAAAUUUUGGAGUAGGCUAAAGAGGCUGCUUGCAAGGCACAUGGUUUUUGAAACGUAAAAUAAGGCUUUUCUUCACCAUGCUGUUAUGGAUAACUAAUCAGUAAGAAGUUACUUCAGUUUUCG
rnacentral:lncRNA from 1 species